AGGUGUAAACACAUUCCAGCGUGGCCUCAUCCACCUUGUUCCCCAGAUCUGGCGCUGUGUGACUUCUGGCUCUUCCCCCAAAAGAAAUGUCCAGGAAAGGAGAGUGUCUAGAAUCAGUUCAGGGCAUUGAAGCAGCCACAACAGCGCAGCCGAAGACAUGAACGAGGACUUGCAGAAUGCUUCGGAAAGUGGCAGGAGUGAGGGGGUGCCGGUCCACGCCUCCGGGGUUAUGAGCGUGUGCAAGAAUCCAGAGACGAGCCCGGGCGAUAAACUUUGAACCCAUUCUCACUCAUGCAGAACGUUUUGUUUCACCUCCUUAAUGAUCUUUCAGGGGCUGGGGAUUUAGCUCAGCGGCAAAGCGCUUGCCUGGCAAGCGUGAGGUCGUGAGUUUGGUUCCCGGUACCGGAGAAAAAUCAAAAAAAAAAAAGAAAAAAAAAAAAAGAUCUUUCAGUUAAUAUACGUAUUUCUAACUCAGUUCCAAA